CGGGAACAUGCCUGUGCCCAAAUCUCCCCUUCCGACCUGUUCCUUCUGCUCUCCACUCCCAUAGGCUCCGUCUUUCCACCUCAUUAAGACGGCUGUGGGGAGGGAGGUGGGACACACCCACUGCCUCCCCUUUCCUUCUGCACCUGGCUGGUGGACAGAUCUGCAGUCCAGACCCCUCAGAUCCAAUCCCACGGCUCACUUCUCUCUCCAGGUACCUCCCCCCGCCCCAACUCUAAUGUGUUGGGAGUGUGUACUGAUGUGUGUCUCAUUAACAAACCUUCAGUGUUACACGUACGUUUGUGUCUUGGAUGGUCAGAGGUGAGACUAUGCCCAAUCUUGAAUGCGCCACAUUUAGGCUUUCCAUUCCUCUAGGAUUAAACUCUCACAUUGCUUCUAGUUGCCCACCCUACAGACAACCCACGAUGUGGACCCUCCUACCAGUCCCUCCAGGACUGUGUGUGAGGAUCUGGGAGGUGCAUGCCCCACAGUGGAGGGAGUGACCAAAGGGCACCCAGGAAGGAAGAGAUAGUGCCUAGAAGAGAAACCCAAAUACUUGAGAAGAAGGGAAGAUGCUUAAACUUCUCAGUGACCUGAAAAGCCCAAAUUAACAUAACGAGAUGCCCCGUUAUACCCAUUCGAUUGCAGAAUUAGGAAGUCAAAAGUUUUGCUGUCGUUUUUUAAGUAAUCUCUACCCGCAAUGUCUCAAACUCAAGACCCUGAGAUUAAGAGUUACAUGCUCCACACGGACAGAGCCUGCCAGGUGCCCUACAAGUUUUUGUUUUUAAAUGUGGAUAUCCAAUUGUCCCAACACCAUUUGCUGAAAAGACUAUUUCUCAAAUGAGCCACCUUUGAACCUUUGUUCAAAAUCUGUUGUCCGUAUAUGUGUGGGUAUAUCUGUGGACACUUUUGUAUCCUGAUUUAUUCAUCUGUCUUUACACCAUGCUGUCUUGAUUAUUAUAGUUUGAUGAUUCAUCUUGCAAUCAGGUAGUGUUUGUCCUCUGACUUUGUUCUUUUGCAAAGGUAUUUGGCUAUUUUACACCCUUUGCAUUUCCAUAUGCAUUUUAGAAUCAUUUGUCAAUUUCUAGGAAAAAAAAUGUGUGGGCAUAGAGUUGUUCGCAGUGUUCCUUUAUUAUUGGUUUUAAUGUCCGUGGGAUCUGCAGUGAUAACCUGUUAUUAGUAAUUUGUAUCCUCUCUUUUAUUUUUUUUUUAAAUUGAGCUAUAAUUGACAUAUAUUAGUUCCAAGUGUCCAAUAUAAUGGCUUGAUGCUUAUAUAUAUUAUUCUUUUUUUCUUAGUUAACCUGGCUUGCGACUCAUCAAUUCUAUUGAUCCUUUUGAAGAAUUAGCUUUGGUUUCAUUGAUUUUUUUCUAUCGAUUUCAUGUCUUCAACUUCACUCAUUCCUACUCUAAUUUUUUUAAGUUUAUUUUCAUUUAUUUUGAGAGAGAGGGGAGGGACAGAGAAAGAGGGAGGGAAUGAAUCCCAAGCAGGUUCCACACUGUCAGCACAGAGCCCAAUGUGGGGCUUGAACUCAUGAACCCUGAGAUCAUGACCUGAGCCGAAAUCAAGAGCCGCACUUAACCAACUGAGCCACCCAGGUGCCCCUCUGCUCUAAUUUGUAUUAUUUAUUUUCUUCUGCUUAUGUUGCAUUUAAUUUGCUCUUCUUUUUCCAGUUUCCUAAGGUAGAAUUUAGAUUAUUGGUUAUAGAUAUUUCUUAUUUUCUGAUAUAUGCAUUAGAUGCUAUAAACCUCCCUCUAAGCAUUGCUUUCUCUGCAUCCCACAAAUUUUGAUAAGUUGGGUUUCAUUUUCAUUUAGUUCAAAAUAUUUUAAAAUUUCUCUUGCCAUUUCUUCUUUGACUCAUGUUAUUUACGAGAGUGCUAUUUAAUCUUCCAAGUAUUUGUGGGGACUUUCCAGGCUUCUUUCUUUACUGAUUUCUAAUUUAAUUCCAUUGUGGUCAGAGAGCAGAUGGUGUACGAUUUCUAUUCUUUCAAAUUUGUUAAGGGGAGUGUUCUGGCCCAGAACGUGAACCGUCUCGGAGCGUUCCACGCGAGCUUACGGAGAAUGUGUGUGCUGCCACUGUUGAGUGAAGUGGCCUACAGUCCACUAGAGACUGGAUUCAGGACUAUGAUGGACGGCCUUAACCGUGUCCUUCGUGAUUCUCUGCCCCCUGCCAGCGGGGUGUUGAAAUGUCCCACCGCAGUAGCGGAUUCAUCUGUUUCUCUCUUGUCGUUGCCUUGACAUCUGUUUUAUCUGAUAUCAACAGAGUGAUGCCAGUCUUAUUUUUAAUCAGCGUUUACAUAAUAUGCCUUUCAUCCAUUAUUUUAUUUUUAGCCUUUCUGUGUGUCCUUAUGAUGUACUUGUGUCUCAUAUAAACAGCAUAUAGCUGUGUUGCGUUCGCUUUUUUAUUCAAAAAAUAAAAUCUUUGUUAACUGGGAUAUUCUGUCCAUUAUCG
rnacentral:lncRNA from 1 species